AGAGUUUGAUCCUGGCUCAGAACGUACGCUGGCGGCACGCCUAACACAUGCAAGUCGAACGAAGUAGCAAUACUUAGUGGCAAACGGGUGAGUAACAUGUGGGUAUCUGCCCUUUGGCCUGGAAUAACACGAGGAAACUUGUGCUAAUACCGGAUAAGUCUUUUAAGAGAAAGCUUUAUGCACCAAUGGAUGAGCCCGCACCUGAUUAGUUAGUUGGUGGGGUAAUGGCUUACCAAGACAAUGAUCAGUAGCUGAUUUGAGAGGAUGAUCAGCCACAUUGGGACUGAGACACGGCCCAAACUCCUACGGGAGGCAGCAGUGGGGAAUCUUGCACAAUGGGGGAAACCCUGAUGCAGCGAUGCCGCGUGAGUGAAGAAGGCCCUUGGGUUGUAAAGCUCUUUCGUCGGGGAAGAAAAUGACUGUACCCGAAUAAGAAGGUCCGGCUAACUUCGUGCCAGCAGCCGCGGUAAUACGAAGGGACCUAGCGUAGUUCGGAAUUACUGGGCUUAAAGAGUUCGUAGGUGGUUAAAAUAGUUGGUGGUGAAAUCCCAGAGCUUAACUCUGGAACUGCCAUCAAAACUUUUUAGCUAGAGUAUGAUAGAGGAAAGUAGAAUUUCUAGUGUAGAGGUGAAAUUCGUAGAUAUUAGAAAGAAUACCAAUUGCGAAGGCAGCUUUCUGGAUCAUUACUGACACUGAGGAACGAAAGCAUGGGUAGCGAAGAGGAUUAGAUACCCUCGUAGUCCAUGCCGUAAACGAUGUGUGCUAGACGUUGGAAAUUUUAUUUUCAGUGUCGCAGCAAAAGCGAUAAGCACACCGCCUGGGGAGUACGACCGCAAGGUUAAAACUCAAAUGAAUUGACGGGGACCCGCACAAGUAGUGGAGCAUGUGGUUUAAUUCGAAGAUACGCGCAGAACCUUACCAACACUUGACAUGUUCGUCGCGACUCUAAGAGAUUAGAGUUUUCGGUUCGGCCGGACGAAACACAGGUGCUGCAUGGCUGUCGUCAGCUCGUGUCGUGAGAUGUUGGGUUAAGUCCCGCAACGAGCGCAACCCUCACUUUUAGUUGCUACCAUUUAGUUGGGCACUCUGAAAGAACUGCCAGUGAUAAGCUGGAGGAAGGUGGGGAUGACGUCAAGUCCUCAUGGCCCUUACGUGUUGGGCUACACACGUGCUACAAUGGCAUCUACAACAGGAAGCAAGAAUGCGAAUUUAAGCAAAUCCCUAAAAGAUGCCUCAGUUCGGAUUGUACUCUGCAACUCGAGUACAUGAAGCUGGAAUUACUAGUAAUCGCGGAUCAGCGUGCCGCGGUGAAUACGUUCCCGGGUCUUGUACACACCGCCCGUCACACCAUGGGAGUUGGUUCUACCUUAAGGCAAAAUGUUAACCUUCGGGAAGCAUUUGACCACGGUAUAGUCAGCGACUGGGGUGAAGUCGUAACAAGGUAACC
rnacentral:rRNA from 1 species